AUUGAACGCUGGCGGCAUGCCUUACACAUGCAAGUCGAACGGCAGCACGGGUGCUUGCACCUGGUGGCGAGUGGCGAACGGGUGAGUAAUACAUCGGAACGUGCCCAGUCGUGGGGGAUAACGUAGCGAAAGUUACGCUAAUACCGCAUACGAUCAAAUGCUGAAAGCGGGGGACCGGAAGGCCUCGCGCGAUUGGAGAGGCAGAUGUCAGAUUAGGUAGUUGGUGAGGUAAAGGCUAACCAAGCCGACGAUCUGUAGCUGGUCUGAGAGGACGACCAGCCACACUGGGACUGAGACACGGCCCAGACUCCUACGGGAGGCAGCAGUGGGGAAUUUUGGACAAUGGACGCAAGUCUGAUCCAGCCAUUCCGCGUGCAGGACGAAGGCCUUCGGGUUGUAAACUGCUUUUGUACGGAACGAAAAAGCUCUUACUAAUACUAGGAGUCCAUGACGGUACCGUAAGAAUAAGCACCGGCUAACUACGUGCCAGCAGCCGCCGUAA
rnacentral:rRNA from 1 species